ensembl:lncRNA
CCGUGUGGCAGCCGCGGCCGCCGCCGUGUACAUUUUCGCGCGCACAGGGGAUCCGCCUGCCUGACGGGGCCGUGGUGCGGGCGCGGCGGCAGCGCUUCGGAAUCGCGGCUACCGCAACAACGUCCCAGGAUGGCGCAGCGGAGCGUGAAUGACGGCCGGCACCGCCGGCGCCGGGUGCGGCGACGGUCUACGGUGGGAGGCCUGUGGGGGAUCCAGUGUGGAGACGUGGCUGUGGCGGAGGCAGCCCCCUGUGGGAGCGGCUGUGGAGCCGGGCACCUGGCAUGGCCCUUGGCCGGGAAGCGCUGGGUGGCGGGGAGAGGCGGGACCGGAGUGGCGGGGCCAGGCCCGUCCCUGCUGCCGUGCUGGGUGACAGCGCCCAGGGUGCGAUGGGGUGAACCGAACUCUUCCUCCUGGAACAGCCAAGGAACGUAGACAGCCAAGGCCUGAGGAGAAGCGGCGGCAGUCCCCGAGCCCAGCACCGUCGCCGGGGAACGGAAGGUUGCGCAGGAGGAGCAUCUGCCUGCUGGUGCCUUGCGAGACCCACCCACUGGUGCAGCGUGUGCUGGGCUGUGCGUGACUGUGCUGCCCGCUGCCGGAGCAGCGACUGGCCCGGGCAAGGCUGCUGUGCCCUCAGCGCGAAGCUGGGGGCCAAAACGAAUGGGGAUCGGAGCUCUGCGGUGGCUGUGGCAGAACCACGGGCUUCACAGGUCUGGUGCCGACCUGCUUCUACACCUCCUUCAGAGCAGUACUGCCGGCUUCCCUGAGAAGGAACUAAGCUACUGCUCUCUCUUGACAGCCCCUGGACCUGGACCUGGGCGAAAACAUCAUAGCCAGGAUCCAGAAGGAGAGGGAGGCAGCGCUCUCGCCGGCUCUUGGGGCCUAAGAUGUGGUCCCCAGCACCAGUGGGAAAGGUAUGUCCCUGGGCACAGUCAUCGCCCGGGGCUCCUCAGGCACCAACUGCACACAGGCAGCGUUUGCAGCCACAACAUCGGUCGUUUCUGGGCUGGCCGCUUUUACCACCACCGGCCUUACUCACACCAGCCAGCCCAGAAGCAGGAGCGUGCCCGUGCUGGGAGGUGAGUCAGGGCAGAUGGGCCUUCUGCGGGGGUGAAGAGCAGGGCUAGAUCUAGGCAGCAGCUUUCCUGCCGGACCUGGCUGAGCUUCCCAGGCUCAGCAGCCCUGAGAGGCUGGUGCUCGGGCUGUGCAGAGCCUUGCCGUGCGAAGGGAAGGUGCUUCCGUCACUCUCUGCCCCAGUCCCCAGCCCUGGGGGGUGGAGGGGAAUCUGAAAUGCCGCUCCUUGUCCCCUCUGGAUGCAAUGGAGGCGUCGGUUCCUGUGCGUGCUGCCAGCUCCCUAAAGCCAGGCUCUUCCUCCUUUGCCGACCCCGACUCACAGUGGUGUGUUGCUUUCCAGGAACUCCUGUGCCCUUCUGUGGCCAGCGCCCCUCAGGCCUUGGAGGAGACGGCGCUUCCUCUGGUAGAGAGGGAGUUUAUGCUUCAGCCUGGAGGAGCUGAUGGGUCGUGUUGACCCCUUGGGCUGGGGGAUGGCGGAAGGGCCAGGCUGUGCUGUAGGAGCCGGCUCGGGUGGUAGCUGCUGGGAUCCGGGGAUGCAAAACCUUCCUUUCCACCUGGGACAGGGACUGUGGUAACCCCUGUGCCAGCUCGGAGCGCGGCUGCAGAGACCUGAGCAAACCUUUGUGCUUCCAGGUUCGUCCACCCCUGCCUCUUCGACCCGACCAAGAUCCAGGAUUGAGGGAACUCGUAAGCGGAUAAAGGCACAGAUCAAGCAUUCCCGCAAUAAGUAACAGCCAGUGCUGCUGGCCCCCCAGCUGCAAGGGCUCUGGUCCGGAGCAGCCCCAAGGCGGGACUGGAGUGAUGGGGCCAGGCCAGUCCCUGCUGCCGGCAAGAAACCGUCCUGGGUGGCAGCGCCUGGAGUGGGACAGGGUGAACCGAACUCUUGCUUCUGGAACAGUUCCACCACCAAGGCUGGAUGAACCUCUCUGCAUCUCUGCACUUGUUAUACUGUUGUUAUUGUUGUUCUAUUGUUGUUCUAUUGUUGUUAUACUGCUGUUGAUUUAUUGUUAUUACACUCUUCUUCUACCACAGUUGUCAUACUGUUGUUUAUACUCUUUUUACUACCAUUGUACUAUUGUUUUACUGUGAAUACACAAUUUUCCCUCCUUCCCCCUCCAGCUUUUUAUAUCCCCCACUUAAAAUAAACAGACUGUGGUUCA